GGCGGGGCCAAGGCGGAGCUCUUGGCCGCGACGCAAGGGGUAGUGCCGCAGGGGACUCCGGUGUCAGUCCGGAGCUGGAGCGCGCGCGUCGGCUCCCGGAGGAGUUUGCAUGAAAGGGGAGACAAGCCAGCAGGGAGGUGAACUAGAGGCUGAGGUCACUGCCAGCGCUGAUCCUCGGGUGACCUCCUUCUCAGAACCUCUGUACUGUGAGAACUGGACAAAGGAGUCUUGGCGCUGCUAGAGGCAAGAGGAGUUGCCAGGGACACGGAGGAGAGAUGACGCAGAGCCACUGCUAAAGCAAGUCAGUGUCCGAGAACCGAAAACCAAAAUUAAAACAGGUAACACGAAUUACCAGACACAGGAUGGGGUCAAGGAGAAACCUUAGAAACCCCUGAGCCAAGGGUUCGCCAUGUCAACAGCCACAGACCAGGGAGGAGAGCACUGCUCUGGGGUCCAGGCUGUGGGAUAAGUGUCCACGAAAUGCCAGCCUUCGGAUGACACUAGAAGCUCCAUGGGCCCACUAGGCCAGGGCUGCCAGAGCCCUCAAGUCCUGGGCCUGAAGGGGAGAGCCCAGCGCCCUAUCAGACAUCUGUACUCAGAGUUGCUGCUUCUGGGCACAAUGACCCAGGGUCUGGGGGUCUGAGCACCCCCCAAAGGCUGGGCUAGUGGGCUCUGAGGAUCUACUGCUUUGUGACCUGUGUCAGGACAGUGCUGCGAGGCAAAACAGGAGGGCCAAAGAUGUACCCUGACAGUGGCCCGUAGAGCAGGACAUAUCCUUGGGCUCUCACCUCUCUUAGAAGGCCACCCAGGUGAGCAUACCCCAUCUUUCCUGGGGACCUGGGUGCUUGGCUGGGUGAGAAGAGGGUGGGGAGAAGAUGGGGCCUGAGCAAAUCACUUCCUCUCUGGGCCUCAGUUUCCCCAUCUGAGACCCAUCCAACUCCAGGGAGUUGUGUUUCUAAGUUGUAAUGUCACACUGUAGAAACCUCUGCCCAUAGUUCUGCCUCUCUGUGGGUGUGACCAGCCUCACAUCAUUCCCCACUCCGGGGACUCUUCCUGUGGGAGGGGGCCCUCCAAUGCCCUCAUCUGCUCACACCACACUCGGCCACCUCACCAACAGGGCUGGCACAGCAAAGAGAACACCAACCAAAGCAGCCCCAGCCCACCUGGACUGCAGGGCUUGGGGACACCCUGUCAUCCCCACCUCCGAGGGCCUCAACGCAGCCCCCAGGGCCUCCACCUGAAGGGCUGGCUCCCACACCCGGGAAGUGUGAGGCAUGGGGUGAGGGGACGCAAAGUGAUGACAUGUUUAAAGGCACAGAGAUUACGUCCAAAAAAAUGAAGUGUGAGAUUGUAAAUGUGUGUCUGGAAGGCGCUGUAGGCCUUAUAGAGUUCCAUUCUGUGGGGAGUGGAGGGUUCUCUUCUGGCCACCCAGAAAGUCCCAAGGAAAGAGGCAGCCAGCUGAGGUUCCAGCCAGUGACUGGCAGGGCUAUAGUUGGCAAAAAGGGGACUGGAGAGAUGAGCACCAUCUGUGGAAGGGGAAGGAGGGCUGGGGUUCUGCUUUCACUGGGGGCUGUCAGCUCAUAGCAGCUUGGGGGGCUAUCCCAGCCAGACUGAGUGGCCCUAUGGCACCUGAUUUUGAGUGCUAAGCCUCCCCCAGGUAUCAGCAGGGGAGGAAUUCUGAGAGACCCCUUCAGUCCAGGGAGUGAGAACCAAGGUCUAUAGGAGGACCAGACUUUGCCGGGCCAUGCAACAUGGGAGUGGAGUGGAGGGGGGGUUGGGGGGGGCAGUGCCCGGUGCAGAGUGACGUUGGGAAUACCCCUGAGGGUCUGGGAGAGGCUGCCCUUGCCCCCUGUGCCUGGGGUGACGGCAGCAACUGAGGUGGUGCCACCAGCUACCCCCACCCCAGCUGGACCUGGGGACACAGGUUCCCUCACCCAGGAGUCUCCCAGGCCUCAUACCUCCCCAUCAGGUCUGACCUCCUCACCCCGCCCCUGCCUGCAUUCCCAUCUCCUCCAUGGCCAAGGUGGCCCUACUGCCUACAGACCUCAAGGCGCCCAUGCAGUCUGGACCUCUUUGGAGGGGGCCAGGUGCUUCCCACCUCUGUGUCCACAACUCCUGCCUCCCCCACACCCAGCCCCAGCCCACCUUUGCAGCUUCUGGUCACCUGCAACACCUCCCCUGGCCAUCCCACGUUGGCCUCGCCUCACUGUGUCUGCCCAGCGUGGAGAAGGAAGGUAAAUUAACGUGGAACAGCCACUGACAGACCAGCACCUGGUUCAGUUGACCCUGGAUGGUAAACUGAGGCCUAGAGAACUCGGCAAAUUAGCUCAAAGGACACAAAGCAAGUGGGGGUGGGGCAGUGGCAAACACAUGAUCCCAGUCUCCUGCUUUCACCAGCUAAGCCACCUCCAGAUAAUCUUGCUGGCCUCAGCACAGCAUGAGGAGGGUGUGUUAUCCAAGGAGGUCAGAGCUUUUUCUUCCAGCAUAGCAUGCUCUGGCCAAUGGCAAAGUGGCCCCGUGUUUCUGUUAGAGAAACCUCGGCUUGGGGCUUUUUUUAUUCCCCCUGCCAUGGCCACCCAAGCCUGCUUGGCACAGGCCAGCUUUCUGGGAAAGGACAUCCAGAGUAUGAGGCAGGACAAGCUGACACUAAUAAGGGGGCUGCAGCCACCCUGUGCAGCAUGAGGGAAAGCAAGGAGUGGUCCAGGCUGGGCUGCGUCUCUACCCUGUACAUGUUCCUAACCAGAGUUAUGGCAGUGCUCUCCAAGGGGCUGAUGGGCACAGCUCCAAGAGGACCUCAUCAGCGCCAGGGAGGGGUGUGUACUGUGAAACAAAGCCCACCCCGAGACAGGAAAGACAAGGGUGGUAGGUUGUGACGGCUCACUGGCACUUUUGCAAACAUCCAACUUCAUGGAGACCUUGGCGCUGUGAACUGCCAGAAUCAUGCACAGCAGUGGGUCCUGAGAAUGUUGACACCCAGCCAUGCAGAGGGGGCUACCCAGGUCUCAGCAGAACAGCAAACUCCUGCAAAGCUGGGGGUGCCCACCAUGACCCCAAGCUGGGCAAGGGCAGCCCACCUCCCUGGGCCAGGCCCACCCGACAUCUUUAAGGCCUAGUUUGGAUGCAGAAGCAAGGCCUCAAUUGUCAAUUCAGUGGCUUUCUCAGUCGCCUCCUCCCAGGGCCAGAGACAGAGACCGAACGCACAGAGGACCGCCUUCCCAGCUGAUGCCCACCCACUCCUCAGCCACUCAGGCCUCAGUUGCCCAGCCAACAGCAUGAUGAGAAUGAGGUUUGGGGAGGAUCUAGGAGGGCCAGACUGGGGAGCUUGCGCUGCCCAGAUGCUGCCCAGAACAGGGAGUGGUUCUCUCAGGUGGUCUGGAAGGAGUGGGUGAGCAGCUGCUUAUCAGAAAACAUUGCCUAAUUGGGGCCUAAUUGGGAAGGUUUAUGGGGCCAGUAAGGGGGGCUCCUUGGGGAGAUGGUGAAAGCCACUCAUGAGUCAUUUGAAACUGAGCCGGACAAAGAGCUCAAGGAGAAAUGAUCCCACCCAGCCUGCUAGCCAUGGGUAGAAUGAGCUCAUGGGCUCUGGGAUGCACAUGCGUGCAUGUGUGUGCACGUGUGUGUGUGUGAGAGAGAGAGAGAGAGAGGGAGGGGAGGGGAGGAGAAGAGAGGAGCUGGUACUCAUACAGCUGGUACUCAAAAGCUGAGCCCUGCAGAGCCUCCACUGCGGGCCCCAUCACUGCAUGGCCAGACUGCCCCCUGCAGGUCGGGGAGGGAAGGGCCCAGUAUCUCAGCCAGCGUCCUGGCUUAGCAUCCUCACCCAGCAUGCAGGCCAGCAUAAACAUACCUUCUCUGCAGUGCCCAGCACAGGACCUGUCCUGGGACAGAUGCCAAAUGGACAUGGAGCUUAUUCUUCACAGUGGGACACCAUCUGUUCACACCACUUCAUCCUCUGUGAGGUGUGUGUUGGAGACUUGGAUGCAUAAUAAACAUUUUAACAUGUUUAUUCAAAUGUUUAAAACUUGUUUUGAAAGAAAUGUAGAUUCACAUGCAACUGUGAAAAAUAAUAAGAGACUCCUUGUACCCUUCACCGGGCUUCUCCUAAUGGACAAUAUGACAGCCAGGAAACUGACAUUGACAAAAUGCAUCGACCUUGCUACAUGAACUCAUCUGUGAGCAUGUGUGUUUAGUUCUAUGCACUUUUAUCACACAUGGAAGUUCAUUUGUCCACCACAGUCACACUGAACAUCUCCAUCACUCAUGGAGAUCCCUUAUGCUGCCCUGUUAUAGCCACACACCCCUGGCGUCUACUAAUCCACUCUCCAUCUAUCAUUUUGUCAGUUCAGGAAUGCUAUAUACAUGGAAUCAUACAGUAACCUUUGGGGAUUGGCUUUUGCACUAAGCAAAAUUUCCUGGAGAUCCAUUCAGGUUGUCAAGUGUAUCAACAGCCCCUUCCUUUUGAUUGCUUCAUAGGAUUCUACUGAAUGGAUAUACCAUUCACACACUGAGGGACAUCUGGGCUGUGUCCCGUUUCUGGUUAUUAUGAAUAAAACUGCUGUUAACAUUUGUGUACAGGUUUUAUGUGAACAUAAGUUUUAUUCGUCUGAGAUAAAUGCUCGGGAGAGCAAUGGCUGGGUCAUAUGGUAGCUGCAUGUUUAGUCUUGUAAGAAAAUGCCAAACUGUUUUCCGGAGUGGCUGCACUGUUUUACAUUCCCACCAGCAAUGUACAAGAGAUCUAGUUUCUCCACAUUCUCACCAGUAUUUGGGGUUGUCACUGUCUUUUUAUUUUAGUUGUUCUUAUAAGCAUGCAGUGGUAUCUCAUUGUGGCUUUAAUUUGCAUCUCCCUAAUGGCUAAUAAUGUUGAAUAUUAAUGGAUUUUAUUGCCUCUUUGGUGAAAUGUCUAUUCAUCUUUUGCCCAUUUUCUAAUUGAAUUUUUUAACAUUGAGUUUUGAAUGUUCUUUAUAUAUUGUAGGUAUGGUUUCUUUUGUCAGAUGCUGGUUUGCAAAUAUUUUCUCCCAGUCUGUAGUUUGUCUUUUCAUCCUCCUCACCUAGGCUUUUUCAGAGCAAAACUUUAAUUUAGUAUUUCCUUUUAUGGUCUUGCUUUUGGAGUUAUGCCUAAACUCUUUGCCUAAGCCAAGAUUCUGAAGAUUUCUUCUAUUUUUUAAAUAAAAGUUUUAUAGUUUUACAGUUUACCUUUAAGUCCAUGAUCCAUUUUGAGUUUUUAUAUAAAGUGUGAGGUUUAGGUUGAGGUUCAUUUUUUUGUCUAUGGACAUCCAGUUGCUUCAGCACCAUUUGUUAUAAAGGCUUCUUCCUCCAUUGAACUGCUUUUGUGCAUAUUUGAGUGGAGCUAUUUCUGGAUUCACUGUUCUGUUCAUGUAUGUGUCUAACCCUCUGCUGAUACCACACUGUCUUGAUUUCUGGAACUAUAUAGCAAGUCUUAACGUUGGAUAGGGUGAUUCUUCCACUUUGUUCUUCUUUUUCAAGACUGUUUUAGGUAUUCUAAGGCCUGCACCUUUCCAUAUAAGUUUUAGAAUAAGCUUGUGUGUGCCUACCAAAAAAAAAAACCUUACUGGGAUUCUGAUAAGAAUUACAUUAAACCUAUAGACAAAUUUGGAGAGAAUUGGCAUAUUUGCUAUGUUGGGUCUUCUAAUCCGUGAAUACAAAAUGUGUAUUUAUUUAGGUUUUCUUUGACUCCUUAAAAUCAUCAUUUUGUAAUUUCAGCAUAAAGAUCCUGCACGUUUUGUCAAGUUUAUAACUGAGUAUUUCAUUUUCUUUGGAGUGAUUAUAAACAAUAUUGUGUUUUACAUUUCAGUUUCCACAUGUUUGUUGUAAGUAUAUGGAAAUGUGAUUGACUUUUGUGUGUUGAUCUUACAUACAACCAUACAGAGCUUACUUAGUGCUAGAAGGUUUGGCUUUUUUUUUUUGAAAGGUUCAUUGGGAUUUCCUACAUACGAUAGAUAAUUGUGUCAUCUGCCAAUAGAACUUCCAAUACUAUGUUGAAAAAGAGUGGUGAGAGCAGACAUCAUUGUUCUCGAACAUUAGGGGGAAAGCUUUCAUCUUUCACCUUUAAGUAUGAUGUUAGGUGUAGGGGGGUUUUUUAGGUGUUAUUUAUCAGUAGGGAAAAUUCUCCUCACUUCCUACUUUGAUGAGAGUUUUUUUCAUAAGUGGAUGGGUUUUUUCAAAUGCUUUUUCUAUAUCAGUAUAAGCAUAUGAUUUUUCUUCUUUAGCCUGUUGAUGUGAUGGAUUACAUUGAUUGAUUUUCAACGGUUGACCAAGACUUACAUAUCUGGAAUGAAUCCCACUUGGCCAUAGUAUUUAAUUCAUUUUAUACAUUGCUAAGUUCAUUUUGUUAAUAUUUUGUUGAGAAUUUUUAUUUCUAAGUUCAUAAGUGAUAUUAGUCUGUAGUUCUCUCCAGCUCUGUCUCUAUCUCUGCCUCCCUGUCUCUCUCUAUCUCUAUCUCUCUUUGGUACUGUCUUUGCCUGGUUUGGGUAUCACACAGGGUAAUACUAACUUCCUAACAUCAGUUGGGAUCUAUUCCCAUCUCUUCUAUUUCCCAGAAGAAAUUGUAUAAAAUUGGUGUAAUUUCUUCUGGUCAUGGGGAUUUCUUUGGGGGGUGCUUUUUAUUUACACCAAUUUUUGAAAUGGUUAUAGGACUAUUCAGGUAGCUUAUUUCAUCUUGGUUGAGUCUUGGUAGUUUAUAGUUUGUGAGGAAUUGAUUCAUCUCUUCUAAGUUGUUGGAUUUAUAAGUAUAAAGUUGUUCAUAGCUUGCUUUAUUAUCUUUGUAAUGUCCCAGGGUCUGUAGUGAUGUCCCCUGUUUCAUCCUGAUUUUGGUGAUUUGUGUCUUCUCUCUUUUUACAUUCUUCAGUCCUGCAAGAGUUUAUAAACAAUUUUAAAGACUAGCUUUUAAAAAUUGAUUCCUCUCUUGUUUUCUGUUUUUUAUUUCUUACUUCUUGCUUUGGUUUUAUUUUGCUUCUCUUUCUAGUCUCUUGAGACAGGAACUUAGAAUAUUGACUUGAGACCUGUCCCCUUUUCUAAUGUAGGCAUUCAGUGUUAUAAAUUUUCCUCUCAGCACUGUUUAGCUGCAUCCCACAUAUUGUGACAUGUCGCACUUUCAUUUUAAUUUCCAAAUAUUUACACAACAAACAACAGAGCCUCAAACUCCAUGAAUUGAAAACUGAUAGAGCUGAAAGGAGAUGUAGACAAAUCCACAAUUAUAGUUGGAGACGUCAACACCCCUGUCAGCAAUUGAUAGAACUACUAGACAGAAAAUUAGCAAAGACAUUUAAGAACUCAACAACCCAUUGACCAAGAGGGUCUGAUAGACACCACCCAAAGUACAUUCUUUACAAACACCCAUGGAACAUUUGCCAAGAUGGACCAUACCUCAUGGUGUGAAAUAAACCCCAACACGUUUAAAAGAAUUGUAAUCACACAGGGUGUGUUCUCUGACCACAGUGGCAUUAAACUAGAAAUCAAUGCCACAAAAGACAUCUGGAAAUCCUCUAAACACUCUGAAACUAGACAACACACUUCUAAAUAAUCUAUGGGUCAAAGAGAGUCUCAAUGGAAAUCUUUAAAUAUGUUUUUCAAAUUUAAAAUUUUUAAUUAAAGCAGAAAUAAUCUACCCCCUAUUUGGAGAAAAGCUUUCAUUUCUAUAAUCUACUCCAAACCAAUUUUCUGAAUGGUCUCUUUUCCUCCCUUGGUUUAUCCACAGCUAACAGGGACAGUGCCACUCCAGAGACACUCUCAUAUCUGUAGGGUGGGCAGAGAAAAGGGGAAGGCACUCAGACUGAGACACCAUUCCACCUGGACCACAGGUUGGGACUCGGUGGAAGGGGAGCUAUUUGCACUUAGGGGUUAUACUGGAGUAUGCCAGGUGCAGGGCCAGUGUCCCAUUUUUGAAGUCCCAUCCUCAUGGCUGGGACUCCCGCCCAGCCUGCAGUCUCCCUGUUGGGGCUAGGGAGCACGAAUCCUGCAUCCAGGCUUUUCCUGGCCCCUUGCACCCAUGCAUUCCUAUCCCCCCAGGGAACAGCCUCACUCUCCCAUCCAGGCCUGGGUGGAGUUCUGACGCCAAGACCAUCAUAUUCAGUCAGGUGCCCAGAUAAGAUGCCCUGAAAGGUGUUCCUGUUCCAUGGGGCUCACUGGCCUCCCCGGUGGUCAGCAUGUUCCCCAGUGCCUGGCCCCAGAAUUAGGAACUCACCCCAACAUUUUCAGGUUCCUCUGAGGCCGCAGGGAUGACUGUUAGGCUCAGCAACAGGUUCCAGACUCUGCUAGCUGCCGCUUCAUCUCUUGGAGCCCUGACUGCCAAAUAUCACCAUUUGCCAGGUUGGACCUGCAUUUCCCAUGGCUUCUUCCUGAAGAUUCAGGCAGCCUGGACACCCCAGGAACAUUUUGUGUGGGAUUUGGAAAGAGUAAGUGGAGGAGAGCUAUGUGCUUUUGUGCCCAAGGGGUGGAUGCCAGGCCUGGGUGCUCCCCUGUGGUCAGUGAGGCCCUCCAGCUCAUGCUGGACCUCCUGGAUUGGCCAGGGUGUGCUUACCACAGUACAAAGGGCAAUAGCACAUCCUGCUAAGACACCUCCAUCUGUCUCCAUUCCCUCCUGGACUUCCAAAUGAACAGCUUCAUAGACACUGUGUAACCAUCUCCAAAGCUGCAUGAGGUCAAAUCUUUGUCAUGAAUAUGAACGCAUCUCUGAACAGUUUACUUCUGUGCUCAGACCCUACAGUUUGAUGACAAAGACUUCCUGAGAUGCCAGUUAACUUGGUGGCUGGUAAAGGUGCUAUUUCAGUGUCAGUGAGGGAGGCUGCUGGUGUCAUAGUAGGGCUGCCAGGGAACAGCAGUCAUCCUUGAGAGUCCAGGCCCAGAAGCUGGUCCCACCCUGUCUGUGUCCCUCCCAAAUGCCAGGGCCAGCUCUAAGCCCAGUGUGACGAUGGAAGAAAGCAUAAAUGUCCAGCAGGGUUGAAAACUGAUUUAACAAGAACUAAUGAACUAUUUGAAAAAGAAAAAGAAAGUCACACCCUAGCUUUGCCAUAAACAAUUUUCAGAGGGAUCAAAGAGACUUUAAAAUAAUGAAAAUAUAGGACACCUUUCCAUUGAAGGGUUAGAAUGAUUUUUGUAAGCAUAAGUAGAAAACAUUGGUAAAAUGAUGCACCUUUUUAGGCCACCUGGCAAUAUAUCUGAAAAGUUUUAACAUUGUCAAAACUUUGACCCAGUCUCUGGGCUUUUAUGCUAGAAAAGGAACAGAGAUUCACAAACAUUCUGGGAGGGGAUAGGGAUCAAAGCAUCAUUUUUAAUAGUACAAAAUUACAAACAUUAUAAAUGUCUUCCAGAGGAGAUCUGUUUCCAGGAAUGUUUAACUGCUUAAAGAUACAAGAAAAUUUCUGGUUAAAGAUGGCUGUUGGGGCUUCCCUGGUGGCACAGUGGUUGAGGGUCCACCUGCCGAUGCAGGUCACAUGGGUUCGUGCCCCGGUCCAGGAAGAUCCCACAUGCCGUGGAGCGGCUGGGCCCGUGAGCCAUGGCUGCUGAGCCUGCGUGUCUGGAGCCUAUGCUCCGCAACAGGAGAGGCCACAACAGUGAGAGGCCCGUGUACCGCAAAAAAAAAAAAAAAAAAGUUGGCUGUUGGAUGUUUUUUCAAAAUGGCGGAGGAAUAGGAGAAUGUGGAGUUUAUCUCUCUUCACAAAUGCAUCAGGAAUAUACCUACAGAUGGAACAAUUCACACAGAGCACUGGCUGAACACUAGCAGAAGACCGUGAACACCAGAAAGGACAGGAAAGAUCCCUUCAUAACCAGAUAGGAUGAAAGAAAGAGAAGGGGAAAAGAAGAGGAGAGGAAGCGGGAUGGGACCUGUGCCCCUGGUGGGGAGCCGAGGAAGAGGAGAGGUUUCCACAUCCGGGGAAGCCCGCUCAUCAACAGGGAAAUCAGUUGGGACAGAAGUAGCAUCUGAGGCUGUCAGAGGAGGGUGAAACAGCUGGUCUGUGGCAGACAGGACAGAGUGUGACCUACACAGAUGGUUCAUGCAACAGCCCUGUGGGCCCCAGACUGGGAUGUGUGUCUGCCAGUGUAUAAGGGCUGGGAGCUGGAAGGUGGAGAUUGGAGAGCAAAGCCGGGGAGAAGACUGCCAUUGGCUGCAAGGAGACAGCCUUAGGGGACAGGAGGGAGGUAAUCCAGAAAUGGGAAUGCUUAUGGAGGAAAUCCAGACUGCCACAGAACCAAGGUGACACUGUUGAGUGAUGUGCAGGGGUGGAGCCACCAUUGCAGUCUCUCUCUUCCCACGUGCCAGCCUCUGCCCCCACCAGGCACUAAGAAAAGGCCCCUGCCAAGGCUGGCACACACGUGCCUGCCUCCAGGUGCUAGGAAAAGCCCCUUCCAGGGCUGGCCUUCUCAUGCCUGUUGCUGGGCAAUAGGAAAGGCCUCCACCAAGGCUGGCACACACGUUCUUGCUGCUGCCAGGCACUAGGAAAAACCCCUACUAGGGCUGGCCUUCUCGCACAUGCUCCUGGGUACUAGGAAAUGUCCUGAAAAGGCUGGCGCACACAAGCCUGCUGCCAGGCGCCAGGAAAAGCCCCUACCAGGGCUGGCCUUCUUGUGCCUGCUGUCAGGCAUUAGGUAAGGCUCCCGCCAGGGAUGAUCCUCUCACAACAGCUGCCGAGCGCUAGGAAAGGCUCCCACCAGGGCUGGAUUUCUCGCACCCAUAGGUACCAAUUUCCCCGCAGACCUCCUCACCAUCCAGAUGGAUCUCUCGCAGCUGCCAAUCCCCCACCCACCAACGCAUCUGUUGCCACUGGGGCUCCCAUGACCCCAGAAGUCAUGCCACCUCUGUGUCCUGUCCUCACCAGGGCAGACUGACACACAGAGGUGGGGCUAAAACCACAGCUGAGCUCCACGGGCGGAGCAGCUAAGGAAGAGGAACGAAAAUCUUUCUGUGCAGCUGCACAAGCCAUGGAUUAAAUUCCCACGAUCAGCUUGGUAAACCCUGCAUUUAUGGAAUAUCUGAAUGGACAACCAGUGUUCCUACAACAGAGACUGAUCUAUGGGGGUAAGUACAUGCGAGAGUUGGGCCAGGUCACAGUCUGAGCUGCCCCCACAGUGCCCACAGUGGGUCCAGAGACCUACCUAGAGGUAUUAGAGGGCCUCCUGGGGAGGCGGAGGUUGACCGUGACUCAUGGUGGGGGAAAGGACACUGACAGCUGAGACCCCAGGAAAAUAUUAUUAUUACUAAUAUUUUUAAUCUGUUGUUCUGUUCUUAUUUAUUAUUUUUUUAAUUAAAAAAUUUUAAUGGUCUUAAUUUUUUAUUGUUAUUUUUUAUUUUUCUAUUUUUACUUUUUCAUUGUUUUGUGUUUUUUCUUGUUAUGUUUUGUUUUUAAUUUUUUUAAUCAUUUUUGUGCAUCUGUUUUAUCUUUUCUUUGCUUUUUUUGAUUUGCAUUCUGCUUCUGUUUUGUUUCUUGUUUUUUGUUAGUUUUGGUUUAAAUUGUUUGAUUUUAUUUUGGCAUUCUUUUCUUUGUCUGGUUGUUCUCUGGUUCUUUGUUUUCUUUGUUUUUGUUUCUUUUGUAUGUGUGUGUUUCUUUGUUAGUUUUUGUUUGUUUUUGCUUUUACCAUUUGUCUUGGGUUUUAUUUGUCUGUCCAUUUGGUUUCUUUUUUUCUUUUUUUUUUUAACUGUUGUUACUGUUUUUUGUCUUUGUCUUUGCUAUUUGUCUUGGGUUUCAUUUGUCUGUUUGUUUUCUUCCCCUUCCCUUUUUUUUUUUUUUUGCCACACCAUGUGGCUUGCAGGGUCUUGGUUCCCCAGCGGGUGGUUGGCCUGAGGCUCUGGGAUGGGAGUGCAGAGUCCAGGAUGCUGGAUCGCCAGAGAAUUCCCAGCCCCGGGAAAUAUUAAUCAGCAAGAGCUUCCAAGGAAGUCUCCAUCUCAACUCCACCCAACUGGCCCCACCCAACUGCCUGCAGGCUCCAGUGCUGGAAGCCUCACACCAAACAACAAGCACGACAGGAACACAAACCCACCCAUCAGCAGACAGGCUGCCUAAAGUCAUACUAAACUCACAGACACCCCAAAACAUAUCACCUGACGUGGCCCUGCCCAUCAGAAGGACAAGAUCCAGCUCCACCCACAAGAGCACAGGUACCAGUCCCUCCCAGCAGGAAACCUACACAAGCCACUGGACCAAGCUCACCCCCCAGGGGCAGACACCAGGAACAAGAAGAACAAUGACCCUGCAGCCUGUGGAAAGGAGAACUCAAACACACUAAGUUGGACAAAAUGAGAAGACAGAGAAAUAUGUUGCAGGUGAAGGAGCAAGAUAAAAACCCACAAGACCAAAUAAAUGAAGAGGAAAUAGGCAAUCCACCUGAAAAAGAAUUCACAGUAAUGAUAGUAAAGAUGAUCCAAAAUCUUGGAAAUAGAUUGGAGGCAUGGAUCGAGAAAAUACAAGAAAUGUUUAACAAGGACCUAGAAGAAAUAAAGAACAAACAAACAGUGAUGAACAACAAAAUAACUGAAAUGAAAAAUACACUAGAAGGAAUCAAUGCCAGAAUAACUCAGGCAAAAGAACGGAUAAGUGAGCUGGAAGAUAGAAUGGUGGAAAUAACUGCCAAGGAGCAGAAUAAAGAAAAAAGAAUGAAAAGAAAUGAAGGCAGUCUCAGAGACCUCUGGGACAAAGUUAAAUGCACCAACAUUCGAAUUAUAGGGGUCCCAGAAAGAGAAGAGAAAAUAUUUGAAGAGAUUAUAGUUGAAAAGCUCCCUAAUAUGGGAAAGGAAAUAGCCACCCAAGUCCAGGAAGCACAGAGAGUCCCAUACAGGAAAAACCCAAGGAGAAACACACCAAGACACGUAUUAAUCAAACUAACAAAUUAAAUACAAAUAAAAAAUAUUGAAAUAUUGAAAGCAGCAAGGGAAAAACAACAAAUAAUAUACAAGGGAAUCCCCAUGAGGUUAUCAGCUGAUUUUUCAGCAGAAAUUCUGCAGACCAGAAGGGAGUGACAGGAUAUAUUUAAAGUGAUGAAAGGGAAAAACCUACAGCAAAGAUUACUCUACCCAGCAAGGCCCUCAUUGAGAUUCAAUGGAGAAAUCAAAAGCUUUAGAGACAAGCAAAAGCUAAGCAAAUUCAGCACCACUAAACCAGCUUUACAACAAAUGCUAAAGGGAAUUCUUUAGGCAGGAAACACAAGAGAAGAAAAAAGACCUACAGAAACAAACUCAAAAUAAUUAAGAAGAUGGUAAUAGGAAUAUACAUAUUGAUAAUUACCUUGAAUGUAAAUGGAUUAAGUGCUCUAACCAAAAGACACAGACUGGGGUCUUCCCUAGUGGUGCAGGGGUUGAGAAUCUGCCUGCCAAUGCAGGGGACACGGGUUCGAGCCCUGGUCUGGGAAAAUCCCACAUACCAUGGAACAACUAGGCCCGUGAGCCACAACUACUGAGACUGCGCAUCUGGAGCUUUUGCACCACAACAAGAGAGGCCGUGACAGUGAGAGACCCGUGCACCGUGAUGAAGAGUGGUCCCCACUCACCGCAACUAGAGAAAGCCCAAAUACAGAAACGAACACCCGACACAGCCAUAAAUAAAUAAAUAAAUAAAUAAAUAGAAGACACAGACUGGCUGAAUGGAUACAAAUACAAGACCCAUAUAUAUGCUGUCUACAAGAGACCCACUUCAGACCUAGGGACAAAUACAGACUGAAAGUGAGGGGAUGUAAAAAGAUAUUCCAUGCAAAGGGAAAUCAAAAGAAAACUGGAGUAACAAUACUCAUUUCAGACAAAAUAGACUUUAAAAUAAAGACUUCAAAGAGACAAGGAAGGUCACUACAUAAUGAUCAAGGGAUCAAUCCAAGAAGAAGAUAUAACAGUUGUAAAUAUAUAUGCACCAAACAUAGGAGCACCUCAAGACAUAAGGCAAAUGCUAACAGCCAUCAAAGGGAAAAUCGACAGUAACACAAUAACAGUGGGGGACUUUAACAUCCCACUUAUACCAACAGAGAGAUCAUCCAGACAGAAAAUAAAUUAGGAAACCCAAGCCUUAAGUGACACAUUAGAACAGAUAGACUUAACUGAUAUUUAUGGGACAUUCCAUCCAAAAGCAGCAGAAUACACUUUCUUCUCAAGUGCACAUGGAACAUUCUCCAGGAUAGAUCACAUCUUUGGUCACAAAUCAAGCCUCAGGAAAUUUUAAAAAAUUGAAAUCGUAUCAAGUAUCUUUUCCAUCCACAACGCUAUGAGAUUAGAAAUCAAUUACAGGAAAAAAACAACCUGAAAAA